GAUGAACGCUGGCGGCGUGCCUAAUACAUGCAAGUCGAGCGAACGGACGAGAAGCUUGCUUCUCUGAUGUUAGCGGCGGACGGGUGAGUAACACGUGGAUAACCUACCUAUAAGACUGGGAUAACUUCGGGAAACCGGAGCUAAUACCGGAUAAUAUUUUGAACCGCAUGGUUCAAAAGUGAAAGACGGUCUUGCUGUCACUUAUAGAUGGAUCCGCGCUGCAUUAGCUAGUUGGUAAGGUAACGGCUUACCAAGGCAACGAUGCAUAGCCGACCUGAGAGGGUGAUCGGCCACACUGGAUCUGAGACACGGUCCAGACUCCUACGGGAGGCAGCAGUAGGGAAUCUUCCGCAAUGGGCGAAAGCCUGACGGAGCAACGCCGCGUGAGUGAUGAAGGUCUUCGGAUCGUAAAACUCUGUUAUUAGGGAAGAACAUAUGUGUAAGUAACUGUGCACAUCUUGACGGUACCUAAUCAGAAAGCCACGGCUAACUACGUG
rnacentral:rRNA from 1 species